CAUUCAGCUAUUAAGUGUAAGAAAUAGGAUUUAAAAGUCUAUCUGGUUCUUAUGUUUAUUUUUGUUGUGGUGGUGGCAGUGAUGCUGGGUUUUAAAGCCAGGGCCUCUCACUUGCAAGGUAAACUCUAACACUGAGCUGCAUCACCAGUGUCUUAAAUCCAUAUUUUCUCUCUCUCUCUCUCUCUCUCUCUUUUUCUUUCUUUGUGUGUGUUUCUGUGCAUAUGUGUUUGUUUCUAGGGAUUGAACCCAGGGCCUUGUGCAUGCUAGGCAAGUACACUACCACUGAGCUAUAUCACUGGCCCCUCAAGUUCAUUUUGUUGACCUGUACUAUAUGGCUAUCUACUAGGGCAAAUGAGAUACUAGGUAAAAGAAGCUUUUAGUUGUUGAAAAAGAUAUAAUUUGCUAUUUUUAAUACUAUUUCUGUUUUUCAUUUUUCCCCUUUCCCAAACAGUUUAGUCGAAAAGCAUCUGCAUUAGAUAUCUGUCCUUUUGACCAAGUGAGAGAGUUUUGUUAACUUACCAGGAUGAAGAAUAUUCACAUGCAUCCUGCUGGCCUAAUGUGGGGCUUUGGAGUUUGGGUGUAGUAAAGAGGUAUCUGUUUAGAAGAGGGCUCAUGAUGAGAUAGAUGAAUUGGAGUGGCGUAAGGAGGAGAUCCAUGUGGAAGAUGGUGGCAGCUUCUCAUAGUUACUUGACAGAGCCUCAGUGGGGUGGUGAACAUUCUACAGUGAAGGGGUCAUGUCAACAAUAGGAAGUUGGUUAUAUAUGGGAGGUGGAGAGGAGGUGAGUGUUGAUCAGAU
rnacentral:lncRNA from 1 species